UCAUCAAAUAUAAAUAUACAACACACGUAUUUUCAUUUAACAUGCUAUUAAGGAAAAAGGAAAAAGGAUGUAUAAAUUAAACUUGGAAGUCUACAGCUUACAAAGACCCAGUAAUCUGAAACAGUAGACAAUAGUCCGUUUUCUUGGAAGUCUACAGACCAUUCUGCAAAGACCAGAAAAUAUAAACUAUGAGAAACUUCGUAUUCAUUUCCAUUUUGUUGUUGUCGGUCUCUUGUGCAGGGUUUGUACCAAAGUUUGAACCUGCAGACUAUUUCUAUGAUCAAAGAGACUUGUAUUAUAGAAGAAUGCCUCAUUUGUUCAACUUCAGAUACAGACCACGUGCAUCUCAGAAUACAAGUAGUUCGACAUUAACAAGACUUUACUAUGAUGGUUAAUAAUUAAAAUUAAUCUGAAUGUGAAUAAAAUGAAAAUGUUCUCAGUCUA